rnacentral:rRNA from 1 species
CCCCAUAGGCUAUGGAAGCUGGAAUGCUCUGUAGUUGAAAGGUCAGCCGCCUUAGGAUGGGUCUGCGGCCGAUUAGGUUGUUGUUGGGGUAACGGCCCAACAAGCCUGUAAUCGGUACGGGUUGUGGGAGCAAGAGCCCGGAGAUGGAUUCUGAGACACGAAUCCAGGCCCUACGGGGCGCAGCAGGCGCGAAAACUUUACAAUGCGGGAAACCGUGAUAAGGGAACUCCGAGUGCCCGUUAAAUCGGGCUGUCCACCAGUUUAAAAAACUGGUGAAGAAAGGGCCGGGCAAGACCGGUGCCAGCCGCCGCGGUAAUACCGGCGGCUCGAGUGGUGGCCACUAUUACUGGGCUUAAAGCGUUCGUAGCUGGUUUGUUAAGUCUCUGGGGAAAUCUUCCGGCUUAACCGGAAGGCGUCUCAGGGAUACUGGCAGACUAGGGACCGGAAGAGGUGAGGGGUACUCCAGGGGUAGGAGUGAAAUCCUGUAAUCCUUGGGGGACCACCUGUGGCGAAGGCGCCUCACCAGGACGGCUCCGACAGUGAGGGACGAAAGCUGGGGGAGCAAACCGGAUUAGAUACCCGGGUAGUCCCAGCCGUAAACGAUGUGCGUUAGGUGUAUCGGUGACCACGAGUCACCGAGGUGCCGAAGAGAAAUCGUGAAACGUACCGCCUGGGAAGUACGGUCGCAAGGCUGAAACU